rnacentral:rRNA from 1 species
CACUCCUACGGGAGGCAGCAGUGGGGAAUAUUGGACAAUGGGCGCAAGCCUGAUCCAGCCAUGCCGCGUGAGUGAUGAAGGCCCUAGGGUUGUAAAGCUCUUUCACCGGUGAAGAUAAUGACGGUAACCGGAGAAGAAGCCCCGGCUAACUUCGUGCCAGCAGCCGCGGUAAUACGAAGGGGGCUAGCGUUGUUCGGAUUUACUGGGCGUAAAGCGCACGUAGGCGGACUAUUAAGUCAGGGGUGAAAUCCCGGGGCUCAACCCCGGAACUGCCUUUGAUACUGGUAGUCUUGAGUUCGAGAGAGGUGAGUGGAAUUCCGAGUGUAGAGGUGAAAUUCGUAGAUAUUCGGAGGAACACCAGUGGCGAAGGCGGCUCACUGGCUCGAUACUGACGCUGAGGUGCGAAAGCGUGGGGAGCAAACAGGAUUAGAAACCCCAGUAGUCCCAUGA